rnacentral:hammerhead_ribozyme from 1 species
AAACUGCUGAAGAGUCCCAUAAUAGGAUGAAACGGCUAUCCAGUGU